rnacentral:tRNA from 1 species
GGGGCUGUAGCUCAGUGGUAGAGUGCUUGUCUAGCAUGCAUGAGGCACUAGGUUCGAUCCUUAGCACCACA